GGGGUAGCUCUGUGUUAGAGUUCUUGCCUACCAAGCAAAAGGCCCUGGGUUUGAUCCCCAGGCCCUG
rnacentral:tRNA from 1 species